UACGGGGGGGGGUAAGCGUUGUUCGGAAUUACUGGGCGUAAAGGGCUCGUAGGCGGCCAACUAAGUCAGACGUGAAAUCCCUCAGCUUAACUGGGGAACUGCGUCUGAUACUGGAUGGCUUGGAUCCGGGAGAGGGAUGCGGAAUUCCAGGUGUAGUGGUGAAAUGCGUAGAUAUCUGGAGGAACACCGGGUGGCGAAGGCGGCAUCCUGGACCGGUAUUGACGCUGAGGAGCGAAAGCCAGGGGGAGCAAACGGG
rnacentral:rRNA from 1 species